UUCCUCUAAAAAAAUACGUGCUUAUUUAAUUUAUGUAACGGCUACAAAAAAAUAAACCAAUCGGAGAUCCUUAUCUGCGGUUCCUAGGUAGAAUUUGUUUCCUCAGGAGAUUUUUUCUGGUUCAAGCUAAAAAUCAGCCAAUCUCGUCUUGUAUUGCAGUCAGUGGGCGGGUCCUUUCCCUUCCACAGGCUGUUAGCUAACCUAACGAUUUUUCUAUAAGUCUGUAGAUGUAACAGUUGAUAAGUGUUCAAUGCGCAGAUAAUGUAGCCCAAAACUACAGAUGUAUUGCAGAUUUUCUUUUUGUUGUUGUUGGCCUUUUUAAAACCACGAUUAAACCAUAAAACAAUCGCGGUGUUAAAGUUGGCUGCUUCGGUCCUGGAUGCCGUGUGGAAAAAAAAAGAAGCUAAUACUAAAGGUUUAACGGUCACUUUUCAAAACAUAUCCGUGGAGUGAUGACCAAAUGGACGGUGUGGGUUUGGUUUCAUCAGCGUUCAUGAUUACAGUGAGACCUUUACAUUUUGGUUCGUGGCCAGAACAGCUGUAACCUGUGCCAAGUAUUAAAAAGGUAU